rnacentral:rRNA from 1 species
UGGCACUGUCACGUGGUGAAAUACUUGAACCAAUGCCAGACAAACUGAUGCGAAAGCGUCUGCCAAGGAUGUUUUCAUUAAUCAAGAACGAAAGUUAGGGGAUCGAAGACGAUUAGAUACCGUCGUAGUCUUAACCAUAAACUAUGCCAACUCGGGAUCAGGCAAUGUUUUUUAUUUUAAUGACUUGCUUGGCACCGA